UGAUAGCUAGGUACCUAAAGCAUUGUUUAAAGGUGGAUCAGUAGUCUACAUGUCAUUGCAUGUCAUUGCAUUCUCACUGUUACCUAUCAAAGUACUGAGGUAAAUAUUAUGAUUUUUUAUAUUAAUUUUCUUACUUUCUAAAAUUAUUAGUGUUUUUUUUCUGAGUUAUGAUUGAAAAACAGUGAACUAGGGUAAAUUUUAUGAAUUAUGAUAUUAGUUUCUGAAAAUAUAUAAUUAGGGCAUCAUUAUGUCUUAUUGCCCCGGGCAACAUAUUUCUUUGGACCGGCCCUGGGUCCUUGCAUUGCAAUUGCCUAUUUAUCGGUUCUAAAGGACUGUGAGAUUCAUUGCUUUCAUGAAGGAUUGGAAGUCAAACGACUUGGUGGUCUCCAUGUCAUUGGGACAUCUUUGCAUGAGUCCCGAAGAAUUGAUAAUCAGCUUCGUGGCAGAGCAGGAAGGCAAGGAGAUCCUGGAUCAACACGCUUCAUGGUCAGAGAAGGAAAAAGAUAGAAGUUUUUGAGGAUGUUGCUGAUGAAAAAGAUAGAGGUUCUUUAGGAUGCUGCUAAUGAAGUUUAUGCAGAGAAGGAAAAAGAUAGAAGUUUGUUGGCACAUAGUAAGCUAGAUAAUUAAUGCAAUUGUAUAUAAAUGAGUUCAUUUUUUUAUAACAUUUACUCACUAUUGGAAUAAUUAUUUGUAUUUGACAUAUUAGUGAAAUGAAUUAUAUUUGUUAUUUAUGGUA